GUACUGGAGGCCUUCUAAGGCUAUGAGAACUCUGCUGCCCUUUCCUGUCCUGUCCACCUCCUUAAGUGAUGCAGGUAAACUCAACAGCAACUGCUGACUGGAGGAGAUGAAGUCUGAUGUGAAACCUGGACCUCACUCAAGCCAAAUAUUUGAGCACUCUGCGUCAGAGCAAACAGGCAAGUGAAGUGCAUCACUCAAGCAAUAUCCUGCAUUUAGCAAGAUCAUCACAGCAAAAGAUGAGAACUGGAACAUACUCCAAUCUACUGUGGCUGCAUGUGCAGAGAAACACAACCAUCCUACUUGGCUGAUACCAAGCCACUGAUUUCAGAAUCACAAAGCACACAGUCUACUGCUGGAAAGUCUGUAGCUUCCUGCCACUGCAUCACACCUGUUGCAAUUAGUUGCUUCAGGUGAAUGAAAUUAGGAGAGCUGGAAAGUUUCUAGAAAAUCAAUAUUCUGCUCCUGCACACUGAGCACUUUCACAUGAGCUUCGUUAACCACCUCCAAAGCAACAUGUGAGCAUAUGACGCAGUUCUGCUCCCACCUGAGAAGUCGUGCACAGAGGGGCAGAUUUUAGUUUGUUUUAUGCUUUUCCUUCCCACACCAGGUAAUUACUAAAUCUUACCUUACAUAAAUUCCAUGUGAUGGAUCGAUCAAAUGUGAUAACCUUUGUGCCCCACGAAAGCAACUCCCAAGUGGCCCUUUGCUUUGCUUUCAGCAGCUGAUUUGGAGAAUCAUCUCUCUCGUGUCAUCUUCUCAUCCGAGCAGUGAGGUAUAAAUUUCAAGAGAAACUUGCCUUCAUCAUGGGUCACUGGUGGUACACAGCUUUUUUG